rnacentral:rRNA from 1 species
CUCUAUGGCCAUAUCACCCUGAACACGCCCAAUCUUGUAAGCUGAGCAGGGUAGGGCCUUGUUAGUAUUUGGAUGGGAGACCACUUGGGAAAAUUGGUCAAUAGAGU